UACAUACUCCCUUCGUUCGAAAAUACUUGUUGUUAGGUAUGACUGGAUGUAUCCAGAUGCAUUUUAGUUUUAUAUAUAUUUAAUUUAAUUUGUUUCUAUGACAAGUAAUUUCGAACGAAAGGAGUACUAU
rnacentral:pre_miRNA from 1 species